AGCUGGUCUUCUGACAUGAUUCCAGGGUCUCUCUAGUAUCACUGAAGUUUGAUUAAAUGUAUUCAAACAAACAUUAAUUUGACAGUUUUUUGUCUAAGAGUUUAAAAUAGUGUUGACAUGUUUUGCUAAAGGAAAAGCAUGGCCUCACAACUUUAGAGUUAAUUGUUUCGUUGAGGAUGCUAACUCUUAAAGAGGUGAAGAUAAAGCCCCAGGUGGAGGACAAGGAGAAAGGCGAGAGGGACGGAUGAAAGAGGACUAAGUGGAGAGCAUUAAACAGUGUCAGAUGGAACAUAUGGGGUGUGACGAGGCCCAAAACUCCCAAAGCCUGAGCCCGGCUCUACACAGAAAGUCCCUCUGAAGCAAAUAAAGGAGAUGUGUCGUGAAACCCUGGUGAAUUUCAAGUCUCCCUCAACACGCCGAGGUCAUGACUCACCAGAUGAUUACACGCUGUGCAAACCCCCCCCCCCGUAAAGCACAUGGAAGCAGGCCCAAUCAGGUCUCCUGUGAAGGAUGGAGGAUGGAGAGCGCCUCAGAGGAAGUGUGGAGGGGUGCGGAGGUCACUACAGGUUUGUGAAGAGGGGAGGUGACAAACGAAUUCCAUGUUUACCUAAGUAGCUAAUCAGAGCCACAGUCAGGCAAUCAGAGAGGGACAGGAGGCAACGUCCCAGCAAUGCUCAAAUACCAUCAUUGUUAUGUAGCCUGCUGGGUAUGAAAUGGAUUUGAAGUGAAGCACAUCUGUGUUUCAUGAGGAUGUAAAGUGUUUGCACCAGACUGCUGUGUGAAUUAUUUAUUUUCCUGAAUCGUUGUGGGAAUAUUCUUGGUCCCACAUUUUCUGUCUUUGUUUUGUUCCUCUAUCUUUUAUGCUGGACGAAUUUAAAGACUGAAUUAGAACUUUUUCUCAGAUUCAACA